UUUAACUGAAGAGUUUGAUCAUGGCUCAGAUUGAACGCUGGCGGCAGGCUUAACACAUGCAAGUCGAGCGGGGGAAGGUAGCUUGCUACUGGACCUAGCGGCGGACGGGUGAGUAAUGCUUAGGAA
rnacentral:rRNA from 1 species